rnacentral:tRNA from 1 species
AUGUCACUCUACACAGCUGGAGAAGUACCUCCCUUACAAGGAGCAGGUUGGCGGUUCGAUCCCGUUGUCACCUAUCA